UUCCGGUUGAUCCUGCCGGACCUGACUGCUAUCGGAUUGAUACUAAGCCAUGCGAGUCAUUGUAGUAAUACAAGGCAGACGGCUCAGUAACGCGUAGUCAACCUAACCUAUGGACGGGAAUAACCUCGGGAAACUGAGUAUAAUGCCCGAUAGAACAUUAUACCUGGAAUGGUUUAUGUUCCAAAUGAUUUAUCGCCGUAGGAUGGGACUGCGGCCUAUCAGUUUGUUGGUGAGGUAAUGGCCCACCAAGACUAUUACAGGUACGGGCUCUGAGAGGAGUAGCCCGGAGAUGGGUACUGAGACACGGACCCAGGCCCUAUGGGGCGCAGCAGGCGAGAAAACUUUGCAAUGUGCGAAAGCACGACAAGGUUAAUCCGAGUGGUUUCUGCUAAAGAAACCUUUUGUUAGUCCUAGAAACACUAACGAAUAAGGGGUGGGCAAGUUCUGGUGUCAGCCGCCGCGGUAAAACCAGCACCUCAAGUGGUCAGGAUGAUUAUUGGGCCUAAAGCAUCCGUAGCCGGCUCUGUAAGUUUUCGGUUAAAUCUGUACGCUCAACGUACAGGCUGCCGGAAAUACUGCAGAGCUAGGGAGUGGGAGAGGUAGACGGUACUCGGGAGGAAGGGGUAAAAUCCUUUGAUCUUUCGAUGACCACCUGUGGCGAAGGCGGUCUACCAGAACACGUCCGACGGUGAGGGAUGAAAGCUGGGGGAGCAAACCGGAUUAGAUACCCGGGUAGUCCCAGCUGUAAACUAUGCAAACUCAGUGAUGCAUUGACUUGUGGUCAAUGCAGUGCUGCAGGGAAGCCGUUAAGUUUGCCGCCUGGGAAGUACGUACGCAAGUAUGAAACUUAAAGGAAUUGGCGGGGGAGCACCACAAGGGGUGAAGCCUGCGGGUUCAAUUGGAUUCAACGCCGGA
rnacentral:rRNA from 1 species